rnacentral:rRNA from 1 species
AGUGAACGCUGGCGGUAGGCCUAACACAUGCAAGUCGAACGGCAGCACAGUAAGAGCUUGCUCUUACGGGUGGCGAGUGGCGGACGGGUGAGGAAUACAUCGGAAUCUACUUUUUCGUGGGGGAUAACGUAGGGAAACUUACGCUAAUACCGCAUACGACCUACGGGUGAAAGCAGGGGAUCUUCGGACCUUGCGCGAUUGAAUGAGCCGAUGUCGGAUUAGCUAGUUGGCGGGGUAAAGGCCCACCAAGGCGACGAUCCGUAGCUGGUCUGAGAGGAUGAUCAGACACACUGGAAAAGAGAAACGGUCCAGACUCCUACGGGAGGCAGCAGUGGGGAAUAUUGGACAAUGGGCGCAAGCCUGAUCCAGACAUACCGCGUGGGUGAAGAAGGCCUUCGGGUUGUAAAGCCCUUUUGUUGGGAAAGAAAAGCAGCAGGUUAAUACCCCGCUGUUCUGACGGUACCCAAAGAAUAAGCACCGGCUAACUUCGUG